rnacentral:rRNA from 1 species
UACGUAGGGUCCGAGCGUUGUCCGGAAUUACUGGGCGUAAAGAGCUCGUAGGUGGUUUGUCGCGUUGUUCGUGAAAACUCACAGCUCAACUGUGGGCGUGCGGGCGAUACGGGCAGACUGGAGUACUGCAGGGGAGACUGGAAUUCCUGGUGUAGCGGUGGAAUGCGCAGAUAUCAGGAGGAACACCGGUGGCGAAGGCGGGUCUCUGGGCAGUAACUGACGCUGAGGAGCGAAAAGCGUGGGGAGCGAACAGG